GCCCCGCCCACAGGGCGGAUCGAAGGGGCGGCUUCCGGCAAGGCUCCACCCCCGCCCCGUGGGCCCCAGGCCAGUGCAGUAGGACCCGCUGCUUCGCGGAUCCCGGCUCCGCUACCGUGCGCGAGCUCUGCAGGCUGUCUCCUAUUCCCCGUGACAUCUCCCGCACUCUCUCCUCCCACUCCAGUCCCUAAACUUGCCCACCCCGGACCCCUUUCAGCCUUUGUUCCCAAAGACUUUUGUCUGCCUGGCUCUCUCUAGCCCUCCCGCCCCCGUAUGUGAAAUUUUACACCCGGUAUCCUCGGAGACAGGCCCCAAAUCUCACCCUAAGUCCUCUCCGCCCUUGACCCCCAAAGCCUUCGCUCCUCUUAGUCUUCCAACCUAGAAACCUUGUUUUUCCGGUCAGCCUCCCUCGCCCCGCGUGUCCUUAGCACACAACAGGGCGGCUCUGAGCCUUGUCCAUUCAGUAGGCGCAGAGUUGAGAAAUUAGCCAGAGGUGCCAGGCUCCUCCCGAAUUGGGGAAAUGAUUUUUGAAGGAAUUAUUUUAACCACCUCCCCAAGUUAAAGAUGCACAGGUACUGGAUCUAAAGGUCAGACGCUUUCACUUAAUUUGGUCGUCAAGGUUAUUCAGCCUAUUAGGGCAAUGCAAAGUGUGUGCUAAAUGGAUUCCCCCCCCCAAGGUUUAAUCUCAGCAAUGUUAAGUAUCCUGGGUGUGAAGGGAUGAGCCAAAACCGCUAGUGGGCGUAACUGAGGCAUGGCGGUUGCCCAUUGUUAGCUUGGCCAAAGUGGUACAAAAGUGCUGGGGGGAGAAGUGAAUAUACACUUACCUGAAUCCUCCUUUUCCCUUGCUUUUCCAAAGGCAGUAUGGUGUAAGGGACUUCGAGGAGUCCAGUGAGACCUGGGGAUCACGAAUCUGUCAUUUACUUUACUAGAAUUGAGCUGGUGGACUAGCUAACCAUGCCUAAAUUCUGUGAGCUUCUGGACUCAUCUCUAAAAUCUAUCCCUCCCCUAAAGUGGUUUAUGGAUGGAAAUGAAGUUUUGUUUGUGUUAAGUGCCUGACUAGAUAGUCAGUAAAUGUUAAUUUCCGAAGCCUAUGCAUACAUCCAUUACUAAGUUUUCCAAACUCUUCCAUAUCCUGGAGAAGGUUUCCUCCUAGCUGUAUGGAAAAGUAGAAAUAAGUCCACCAUUCAACCCAAACCACUCCAUUUCCUCAAUUCACCAUACCAUUAAUGUUUUAUAUUUGUGAUUUUUCUAAUAUUUAUAACUCCUCUCCCCCAUCCACAGUGUAUUAAUCAUGUUUUUGAAUUUUCUGUAUGUUAUGAUGUUUUGAUCCUAAAAAUCUUGCUGUCAGAGGACAGACUGUCCUCCUAGGGCUAGCUAGUUCUUACAGGGAGCAAAUAACUUCGUUGGGAGCACACCUCUCAUAUGCAAACCAACCCCUCUUUUACCUAACUCUCACACACCAAGCCAAUAUUUCCCCUGCCCUAAAUCAUCCGAGGGCCAGGUACCAGGCAACUAGAGCCCAGGCCCACCAUGUAUUGUUCAGACUAGCCGGUCCUAAGCUGCUUACUCUUCCUUGCCCUGCCUUUCCUGGAAACCCCAAUAAAGUCCCUGGCCUAACCUUUCCCCUUGCUCCUGCUUCUGCAUCCCGAGUAAACCAGAUGCUUCCACUGUGGCCCUACAUGAUGUGGUAUGCCCCCUUCUCCAGUGAGAUGUAGUAAAAAUCUUUCAAUGGCAUUGGCCUUGCCAUGUUGGCACUCACCUCCAUACAUUAAAAUCCCACUGAUACAAAUGAGACCCUCACUUAGGAAGAAAACACAAAAACUAAAACAAAGGAAACUCUGCUCACCUCUCUGUACUUUCAAACUAUUUAUGCACACAUUUAGGGCAUUUCGAGAGUUGGAUUCAGGCCGGCUGUUUCCUAUUUGUCUCUCUUACCAGACUGUAAGCUCUCAGUCUUUCUCAUCCUUGUAACUCCAGGGCCUAGCAUGACAUUCAACAAGCAGAAAGUUUAAAUUUAGGUUGAGCAGAUGAAGACAGCAAUCAUUGCUAUUUGCCAUGGAACCAUACCUACGUGUGGAUACAGUUAUGACCAAAUGAGAAGACCAGAAGUAUGAUGUUACCUUACUACCAUGGUCGGGAUGAAGCCUGUGUACUUGAUAGGAACCUUCUGGAUGCAUGGUGACUGAACCCUGCAGACUGGAUACAUUUGAAGUGCCCCCAACACUGGACUCUAAACUAGUGAACACUGAAGGACCCUGCCUAACGUCAUUUGACUUACCCCAGCAAGAGUACUGUAAUAAGCUCCCCAGGAGAACCUUAUCAGUGAGCUGAACGGUGCCAGAACAAUGAGAUCUGCUGCUUGGGGCCGAACAUGCCAAUAUACUGAUGGCACAGCACUGCACAUACUACGUGCAUUCUGUUGUGUCCCAUCUUGGAGAAGCUGACCAAAGAUGGAUGGGCUUGGAAACUUUUGAAGGCUGUAUAGAUAUGUUUGCUACCUUGAUUGUGGGGAUGGUAUCACAAGAGUGUGUGUAUAUAUCCAAAUUCAUCAAAACAUAUACAUUAAAUACAUGCAAUUUUUGUGUACCAGUUAUGCCUCAAUAAAGCUG